rnacentral:rRNA from 1 species
AGCGAACGCUGGCGGCAGGCUUAACACAUGCAAGUCGAGCGGGCACCUUUCGGGGUGUCCGCGGCGGACGGGUGAGUACCGCGUGGGAACGUGCCCUCUGGUUCUGAAUAACUCAGGGAAACUUGAGCUAAUACCGGAUACUCCCUUUUGGGGAAACGCUUGCUGCCGGAGUAUCGGCCGGCGUCUGAUUAGCUAGUUGGUGAGGUAACGGCUCACCACUGCGACGAUCAGUAGCUGGUCUGAGAGGAUGAUCAGACACCCUGGGGAUGAGACACGGCCGAGACUCCUACGGGAGGCAGCAGUGGGGAAUAUUGGACAGUGGGCGCAAGCCUGAUCCAGCCAUGCCGGGUGAGUGAUGAAGGCCUUAGGGUUGUAAAGCUCUUUUAUCCGGGACGAUAAUGACGGUACCGGAGGAAUAAGCCCCGGCUAACUUCGUG